rnacentral:misc_RNA from 1 species
GUGGCACCCUUCCUAUGGGUUG